GUCAAGUCAUCAUGCCCCUUAUGCCCAGGGCUGCAAACACGCUACAAUGGCCGGUACAAAGGGCUGCGAUCCCGCGAGGGUGAGCGAAUCCCACAAAGCCGGUCUCAGUUCGGAUUGGAGUCUGCAACUCGACCCCGUGAAGUCGGAGUCGCUAGUAAUCGCAGAUCAGCAACGCUGCGGUGAAUACGUUCCCGGGCCUU
rnacentral:rRNA from 1 species